rnacentral:rRNA from 1 species
AGCAGCCGCGGUAAUUCCAGCUCCAAUAGCGUAUAUUAAAGUUGUUGCAGUUAAAAGCUCGUAGUUGAAUUUCGGGGUUCUACCGUUGGUCGGGCUAUAGUCUGUACUGGCGCGUGGAAUUUCUACCUUCUGGGGAACUAUCAUGUUAUUAAUUUAGCGUGGUAGGAAACCAGAACCUUUACCUUGAAAAAAUUAGAGUGUCAAAGCAGGCUUACGUCUGAAUACAUUAGCAUGGAAUAAUAAAAUAGGACGGUGGUCCUGUUUUGUUGGUUUCUGAAUCACCGUAAUGAUUAAUAGGGAUAGUUGGGGGCAUUAGUAUUCAAUUGUCAGAGGUGAAAUUCUUGGAUUUAUUGAAGACUAACUACUGCGAAAAGCAUUUGCCAAGGAUGUUUUCAUUAAUCAAGAACGAAGUUAGGGGAUCGAAGACGAUCAGAUACCGUCGUAGUCUUAACCAUAAAACUAUGCCGACUAGGGAUCGGAUGAUGUUAAUUUUUUUAAUGACUCAUUCGGCGCCUUAUCG